AGCAACACAGCUCUCCCUUUCUAGAAACAGGGUUUCCCCUCCAGGCUUGGAUUCUUAAAUCUAAAAAGAGCCUCUCACCUGAGGCCUUCACCUGAGAGCUGGAGCCUGUGCGAUGGAUUAUCUGGACAGGGACCCCAAUGAACAGGGCUCUGCUGGAGUGAGGAAGCUGACUGAGGGAAGAACCAGAAGGCUGCCAAAAUACAAUUGUGUGCCUUUAAAGGAAAUAACAACAAGAAUUAGGAGCGCCCUGGAGGCAAGGUCUGCUGCUGGGGAAACCAAACCACAGUAACUUCAGAAAUAUAUACUUGGAAUAUGUCAUGUAUUAAUGGGUAAAGACACCGUGGAUAUGAAGGAAAUCACCUAUGGGAGAAUAUUAAGAAGAGAAGAAGGGGCUGCUGGCUGUAGUGAAAUGUAUAAAAAGGAGAGUGUGAUCCUAGUUUCUGUCUCUAACUAUGAGUUACUUGUGAUUAACUUCAAAUAUUCUCUCCAUAAGAAGAGGCCCAGAAGAAGAAGAUGAGCUUCAGUUAUUCUAGCACAACUGCUGUGAUAUUUGUAAAUAUUCAAAACCUAUAAUAAAAUGUAUAAAAGGAAACUCCAUUUGAAAUGAUUUGAAAUCUCACAUGGAAAUCUAUUUUUUUUAAAUCAGAGCUUAGUAAGAGAAAAUAACAGAACAUUGUAAUAAUUGAAUUACAAAAACAACUGAAUUUUGGAAAAUUUAUUUUCUCUCAUGUGAUGUGUGUGUAUGUGUGUGUGUGUGUGUGUGUAUCUAUUUAGCAAUGGCGUUAUUCUAUCAAAUGGGAUUAGAUUCAUUUUUGACUCCUGCUAAGCACCCUGUCCCCCCAACCCCAAGAUUAUGAAAGCGGAAGGGAAGGGGGAGAUAGGAAAUAUGACUUAUUUAAACUGUAUAAAAAUGCUGAAAUAAAAUGAACAUUCAAAACUCAUGUGAUUGAAUUUAAUCUUUCUUUUGUUCAACACAUUCACUGAGGAAAUCUG
rnacentral:lncRNA from 1 species